rnacentral:misc_RNA from 1 species
CAAUCCCCACGGGUUUUCUCCCGUGUGGACUUGGACCUGGGCGCCUGCCUCACAAGGCUCGCCUCAAAUGACUCAGUGGGAACUUCUUGACCUACGCCCGACGUAAUAAGUUUCGUCACGGCCGGUCCUGAGGCCCGCUCACAACCCCCCAAUCUUUUGACAUUGACCUCAAAUCAGGUAGGGCUACCCGCUGAACUUAA